GUAUUGGUGGUUCAGUGGUAGAAUUCUUGCCUGCCAUGCAGGAGACCCGGGUCUGAUUCCCGACCAAUGCA
rnacentral:tRNA from 1 species